rnacentral:rRNA from 1 species
UACGAAGGGGGCUAGCGUUGCUCGGAAUCACUGGGCGUAAAGGGUGCGUAGGCGGGUCUUUAAGUCAGGGGUGAAAUCCUGGAGCUCAACUCCAGAACUGCCUUUGAUACUGAGAGCUUGAGUCCGGGAGAGGUGAGUGGAACUGCGAGUGUAGAGGUGAAAUUCGUAGAUAUUCGCAAGAACACCAGUGGCGAAGGCGGCUCACUGGCCCGGUACUGACGCUGAGGUGCGAAAGCGUGGGGAGCAACAGG